rnacentral:rRNA from 1 species
GAUGAACGCUGGCGGCGUGCCUAAUACAUGCAAGUCGAGCGAACAGACGCGUAGCUUGCUCCUCUGACGUUAGCGGCGGACGGGUGAGUAACACGUGGAUAACCUCCUUCUACGACUGGGUUAACUUCGGGAAACCGGAGUUAAUACCGGAUAAUAUAUUGAACCUCUUGGUUCAAUAGUGAAAGACGGUUUUUCUUUCACUUAUAGAUGGAUUCGCGCCGUAUUAGCUAGUUGGUAAGGUAAUGGCUUACCAAGGCGACGAUGCGUAGCCGACCUGAGAGGGGGGUGGACGGCCAUGGAGCGGAGAAGAGGCCGAGAAGACUACGAGAGGAAGCAGUAGGGAAGAAUACGGAAUGGGCGAAGGAAGGAUGAAGCAACGACGCGGGGUGAAUGAAGGUCUUCGGAGCGUAGUAAACUGUUAUUAGGGAAGAACAAAGGUGGAAGUAACUAUGCACGGGUUGACGGUAGCUAAUCAGAAAGCGACGGCUAACUACGUG